CCGCAUAUGACCUCCCACUUUUCGUUUUCAAGGUCUCAGUCUAGGGGCAGCCUCCUUGCCUGCGUGAUAUGUCAAUCACAGAUGCUGGUGAUAUAAAAACCAACAGGUUCUCCAUCCUGUAUAGAGGUCUGCGGGAGCGUUGAUCACUGCGUUUGUGAAGGGGCAACUUUUCAGCCACAAAAGCUACAAAAUGACUAAAAUAACAGCUGCGUAUUUUGGAGCGGUCAUGCUUGUCGUAUGUUUGGUAUCAAAACAGGCUGACUCUAAUACUACUGCUACUACUUAUGCCUCCACAACAGCCAACACAGCUACCCAGUUGGCUCAGAAUGGAAGUUCUACAGCGGCCACCACCAGCACUUACAUCAGCGCGAGCUCAGGCAACUUCACCACCCCCUUGGGGGCUGGGAACGCUCUGCAGUCAAACACCUUCUCCAUUCUCCUCCCUCUCGCCGCCUCUGCCUCCAUCUUCCGCCUGCGCUGUUAAAGCCCGCAGUCGCGGGAGACACCCAAAACUCUGACAUCCCCCACGGUGAAGAUGGAAACAAAAUUAUCCAAAGAGCAAGUGAUAUGAACAGCAAUUGUAGCAGAAGUCUCUGAAUUGGGGGUGGGGGUGGGGCUGUGGUGGUGGGUGGGGGGGUAUGGUAAAGGAAGAGCCUGCACAAUCCAGAUUACAAAGAGAGCAGGAGGAGUGUCACAUUGAGGAAUGAAGUGUCUUAACUCUAAAGGUAUCAGGCUGUUCUCUACCCCAUCAACAAGGCUUGGUGAUCAACAAGGCAGAAAAAGGUACCAUCAGACUUCUCAGUUGCUUGACAACAGAAAGUUCGGGACACGGAUCAAGGAUGUACAUACUCUGCUCAUUUGACUGUCUCAUUUUAUGUUUGUUUCCAGCAAAGGACACUUGUCUCUUUUUUUUCACCUGUGUACAGCAUGUUAUUGUCAUCUUAUUUAGGCAGCAGAUGAACAGCUAAUUGUGAAUGCAUAUGCUUGUUUUAAGGAUAGUAGCUAAUUAUUAACUGAAUAGAAUUCAUAUUAAAUGUAAAUAUUAUGGCCAAAUAUGAGUUGGAUAUAAACGUUUACAUGCAGACCAAGCCUUGAGUUUCCUUACAGUUUUCAAUAGUCACUUAUAUAUACAAAUAAGUAUGAAUAUAAUGAAUCUGAAAAAUGAAGGGCUGGUUUACUAUAUUGAAAUAACAAGGAAGUUAUGAUAAUUUUGUUUUUUAUGAUUUUCUUUUACAAAAAUUAUGGGAACUCUGUGCAUUCUGCCUUUUCCAAAAUCAACUGUACUGUACACAGCUCUAAGAGUGUACUGGAUAAGAAACUGCAGAUGGUAAAAAAAAUGUUAAAUUGGUGUGAUUUAAAAUAAACCUAUAUUUUUUGUAUAAAUAGAAUUGUUUAUUAAUGUUUUUCUGUAAUUACGUGUGAAUAAUGAGAUCAGGGAGUAAAUGCUCACUUUAUUGUAACUGAAUAAAUUACCUGAAAAACAACUUUCUUCAGCUUAUCAGAUUUCUCAUUCAUGCAAUUCAGGGUUGGAAAAAAAUUACUGUACCAAAACUUGUCUCAAACCAAGAAAAUUCAGUUCAUCCUAUGGCAUAGGCAAAAAAUGUGCUGUUCAUUCAAGCAUGCCUGGUAGAGUCAGAAAAAGAUCAGGUGUACUCACUUAUUUAAUAUACUGUACCGUGCCAAUAUACUUCAUUUCACAGCAUCCUUGAGUUUCGAAAGGCACUUUAAAAAUAAAAUUAUUAAAGCUAUUAUAUACUGUACUAUUUCCUAGUUGCCUCUGUUUCAAGUACAGCAGGUCCAUACAGAAACUGAAAAAAAUAAAAUUAAAUGACUAGAUUUUCCUUCAGUGUUGGUAUGGUUGGUGUGUUUUAAAGAUGCUUUGAAGGCUACUACAUUAGUGAAGCUAGUUUAAUGGCAAUUCAACCUGGCUCUUUACAAUGCUACACAUCUUCUUAGAAAUGUACAUUUGCCAUUUGUAUCAAGAAUCAUCUUACUUUUUACUGGUCUUCUUUAAAGCUAAAGAAUUAAGUUACUGGCUGUCUCAAUAAACAGAAAUGGC
rnacentral:lncRNA from 1 species